UUUGGCACAGUAGGUAGCACGUCAGUCUUGAAAGCUGAAGAUCCCGAGUUAAAUCCUUGGAA
rnacentral:tRNA from 1 species